rnacentral:rRNA from 1 species
UAUACAUGCAGUCGAACGAACUUUCCUAUUUGAUUGAUGCUUGCAUCAUGAUUUAGAUCUAAGUGAGUGGCGGACGGGUGAGUAACACGUGGGUAACCUGCCCAGAAGUGGGGGAUAACAUUUGGAAACAAGUGCUAAUACCGCAUAACAACAUUAAACACAUGUUUUUUGUUUAAAAGAUGGUUUUGCUAUCUCUUCUGGAUGGACCCGCGGCGUAUUAGCUAGUUGGUGAGGUAAUAGCUCACCAAGGCGAUGAUACGUAGCCGACCUGAGAGGGUAAUCGGCCACAUUGGGACUGAGACACGGCCCAAACUCCUACGGGAGGCAGCAGUAGGGAAUCUUCCACAAUGGACGAAAGUCUGAUGGAGCAAUGCCGCGUGAGUGAAGAAGGUUUUCGGAUCGUAAAACUCUGUUGUUGAAGAAGAACAUAUGUGAGAGUAACUGUUCACGUACUGACGGUAUUCAACCAGAAAGCCACGGCUAACUACGUGCCAGCAGCCGCGGUAAUACGUAGGUGGCAAGCGUUGUCCGGAUUUAUUGGGCGUAAAGAGAAUGUAGGCGGUUCAUUAAGUUUGAAGUGAAAGCCCUCGGCUCAACCGAGGAAGUGCUUCGAAAACUGGUGAACUUGAGUGCAGAAGAGGAAAGUGGAACUCCAUGUGUAGCGGUGGAAUGCGUAGAUAUAUGGAAGAACACCAGUGGCGAAGGCGGCUUUCUGGUCUGUAACUGACGCUGAGAUUCGAAAGCAUGGGUAGCAAACAGGAUUAGAUAC